rnacentral:rRNA from 1 species
UACGUAGGGUGCGAGCGUUAAUCGGAAUUACUGGGCGUAAAGCGUGCGCAGGCGGUUCGUUAAGUCAGCUGUGAAAGCCCCGGGCUCAACCUGGGAAUUGCGGUUGAAACUGGCGAACUAGAAUCUGGCAGAGGGGGGUGGAAUUCCACGUGUAGCAGUGAAAUGCGCAGAUAUCAGGAGGAACACCGGUGGCGAAGGCGGGUCUCUGGGCCGAUACUGACGCUGAGGAGCGAAAGCAUGGGUAGCGAACAGG